rnacentral:rRNA from 1 species
UACGGAGGGUGCAAGCGUUAAUCGGAAUCACUGGGCUUAAAGGGUGCGUAGGCGGCGCGACAAGUUGGGUGUGAAAUCCCUCGGCUCAACCGAGGAACUGCGCCCAAAACUGUCGUGCUCGAGGGAGACAGAGGUGAGCGGAACUUAGGGUGGAGCGGUGAAAUGCGUUGAUAUCCUAAGGAACACCGGUGGCGAAAGCGGCUCACUGGGUCUCUUCUGACGCUGAGGCACGAAAGCUAGGGGAGCAAACAGG